CGGUUUGUUGUGUGUUUUGAUCAACAUUUUUCUGAGUUGGUUACCUGAGAUUCCACCUGUUUUCGGUGGUUAUUUGAGGCGAGGCGGCGAGCAACGACACCUCCUAACCGACAUGUGUUUCAACAAAACUUUUCCGGAUUAAUCGGCUGCAAUGGUAACAGAGGAGGAUAUUUUUGAUGAUGUUGGUCCCUCUGAUGUUAGAGUCUUAGAGUGAACCCUACACCUCCCUCCGUUCAAUCUACUCCACUGGAUCUAAGUACCUCUCAAGCGAAGCCGCUUCUGUUAAAUCAAGAAGGUCACCCACCACAAAGGCUUUACCCAGCACUUCAGCCUCUUGACCAAUGUCUGCUACCGAAGAGAAAAAGCCAAAAAAACUUAAACAGCUGCUGUUGAAGUUGGGUUGCCAUAUUUUGUUCAGUCUUUUCUGUAUUGAAAUUGUAUAAUUUAAGGAAGUUCCUAUACAUCUUUUAUAAUUGUGUAUGAUAAUUUGACUUUUGCUGUCAUUAAAUUUUCUGUGAGUGGAACAUAA